UACGUAGGGUGCAAGCGUUAAUCGGAAUUACUGGGCGUAAAGCAUGCGCAGGCGGUUAUGUAAGACAGUUGUGAAAUCCCCGGGCUCAACCUGGGAACUGCAUCUGUGACUGCAUAGCUAGAGUACGGUAGAGGGGGAUGGAAUUCCGCGUGUAGCAGUGAAAUGCGUAGAUACGCGGAGGAACACCGAUGGCGAAGGCAAUCCCCUGGACCUGUACUGACGCUCAUGCACGAAAGCGUGGGGAGCAAACAGG
rnacentral:rRNA from 1 species